rnacentral:lncRNA from 1 species
UUGAUGGGUUUCUCUUUGUAAUCCUCCAAAUCAUAUACUUUGACACUCGAUAUAUAUCAAUAAAGGCAUUGUAUUUCAUCAUUUGCUGCUUAUCUAUUUUAUUAUUGGAUGAUGAACCCCAUAAAUUAGGACAUUGGUUUUAGGGUUAUGAUGAGAUCAUACCAGUGAGACCUAAAAUCCUAAAAUCCUAAUUUAGAAUAUUCCCUAUCAAAUUGGUAUAUUGAGUCGGGGAUCAAUAUUACUGGAAGGACUGACACAUCUUAUGUAUGCUCGAUGUAGAGGGUGAUUGAUCUCACAAUCACUUGUGUGAGACACUAAUACAAAGAUGUGGGUGCUCAUUAGAGGAAUGAGUUCACUGAAAUGACCAGCCAUGAGAACAUCUUAUGGAUUCUUACUUCAUUGUCAAAAGAUGGUUCUCAUAGUGGAAGUUGUGCAAGUGAUCCUUAGACCUGAGAUCACCAUGGUACCUUGUGCACUUGAACCUAUAUUUUGGUUUACCCUCAUUCACGACAUUGCGUUGGGUACAGGUAUUCUGGAUAUGGUGGAUUUUGUACGAAGGUUGUGAGUAGGUCAAUAAGGAAUCAGUCACUUCUAGUAAGAGAAGGCAACAUCCUACUUACUCUAAUCUU